rnacentral:rRNA from 1 species
GACGAACGCUGGCGGCGUGCUUAACACAUGCAAGUCGAACGGAAAGGCCCCCUUGUGGGGUACUCGAGUGGCGAACGGGUGAGUAACACGUGAGUAACCUACCCUUGACUUUGGGAUAACUUCAGGAAACUGGGGCUAAUACCGGAUAGGAGCUCCUGCUGCAUGGUGGGGGUUGGAAAGUUUCGGCGGUUGGGGAUGGACUCGCGGCUUAUCAGCUUGUUGGUGGGGUAGUGGCUCACCAAGGCUUUGACGGGUAGCCGGCCUGAGAGGGUGACCGGCCACAAGGGAAAGAGGGAACGGCCAAGAUGCGUACGGGGGGGAGGGGGGGGGAAUAUUGCAAAAUGGGCGGAAGCCGGGAGGAGCAACGCCGGGGGGGGGAAGACGGCUUUUGGGUUGUAAACCGUUUUGGCUUGAGAAGAAGCGUGGGUGGGGGAAAUGGGUAAAGAAGCCCCGGCAAACAAGUU